UUCGGCAGCACAUAUACUAAAAAAAAAAACAAAUUGGAACGAUACAGAGAUUAGCAUGGCCCCUGCUCAGGGACAACAUGCAAAUUCAUGAAGCAUUCCAUAAAAAA